CUUGAGUACGGGAGAGGGUAGCGGAAUUCCCGGUGUAGAGGUGAAAUUCGUAGAUAUCGGGAGGAACACCAGUGGCGAAGGCGGCUACCUGGACCGAUGCUGACGCUGAGGCGCGAAAGCGUGGGUAGCAAACAGGAUUAGAUACCCUGGUAGUCCACGCCGUAAACGAUGAGUGCUAGGUGUCGCGGGUAUUGACCCUGCGGUGCCGCAGUUAACGCAUUAAGCACUCCGCCUGGGGAGUACGGCCGCAAGGCUAAAACUCAAAGGAAUUGACGGGGACCCGCACAAGCGGUGGAGCAUGUGGUUUAAUUCGACGAUACGCGAAGAACCUUACCUGGACUUGACAUAGUAAGAAGAUUUAAGAGAUUAGAUUGUGUCUGCUUGCAGAAACUUAUAUACAGGUGCUGCACGGCUGUCGUCAGCUCGUGUCGUGAGAUGUUGGGUUAAGUCCCGCAACGAGCGCAACCCUCGUGAUUAGUUGCUAACAGUUCGGCUGAGAACUCUAAUCAGACUGCCUGGGUAACCAGGAGGAAGGUGAGGACGACGUCAAGUCAUCAUGGCCCUUACGUCCAGGGCUACACACGUGCUACAAUGGGGCAUACAAAGAGCAGCAAUACCGCGAGGUGGAGCAAAUCUUAAAAAUGCCUCCCAGUUCGGAUAGCACUCUGCAACUCGAGUGCU
rnacentral:rRNA from 1 species